AUCGCCCGGGAACUACGAGCAAAGCUUAAAACCCAAAGGACUUGACGGUACCCCACAUCCACCUAGAGGAGCCUGUCCUAUAAUCGAUAACCCCCGUUCAACCUCACCAUUUUUAGCCUAUCAGCCUGUAUACCUCCGUCGUCAGCUUACCACGUGAGCGACUUCCAGUGAGCUUAAUGCCCAUACGCCAACACGUCAGGUCAAGGUGCAGCAGAUAAAAUGGGAAGAGAUGGGCUACACUCUCUAUUCUAGAAAAUACGGAAGACUAUUUAUGAAACCUAGUCAGAAGGCGGAUUUAGUAGUAAAAAGAGAUAAGAGCGCUCUUUUUAACAUGGCACUGGGGUGUGUACACACCGCCCGUCACCCUCUUCAAAGCUAAUAUGAAGUUCUUAACACACUUAAGCACUACAGAAGAGGCAAGUCGUAACAUGGUAAGUAUACCGGAAGGUGUGCUUGGAAA
rnacentral:rRNA from 1 species